rnacentral:rRNA from 1 species
AAUGAACGCUGGCGGCAGGCCUAACACAUGCAAGUCGAACGGAGCAGCAAUGCUCAGUGGCGGACGGGUGAGUAACGCGUGGGAACAUACCCUUUGGUACGGAAUAGCCUCGGGAAACUGGGAGUAAUACCGUAUGUGCUCGCAAGAGGAAAGAUUUAUCGCCAAAGGAUUGGCCCGCGUUGGAUUAGGUAGUUGGUGGGGUAAUGGCCUACCAAGCCGACGAUCCAUAGCNGGUUUGAGAGGAUGAUCAGCCACACUGGGACUGAGACACGGCCAGACUCCUACGGGAGGCAGCAGUGGGGAAUCUUAGACAAGUGGGGAAACCCUGAUCUAGCCAUGCCGCGUGAUCGAU